rnacentral:tRNA from 1 species
UAUAAAGUUGGCAGAAUUAUGUGAAUAAUUUAGGAUUAUUUUAUGAAAGUAUAGCUUUUACUUUAUAU